rnacentral:rRNA from 1 species
GACGAACGCUGGCGGCGUGCUUAACACAUGCAAGUCGAGCGAUGAAGUUUCUUCGGAAAUGGAUUAGCGGCGAACGGGUGAGGAACACGUGAAGAAUCUGCCCUCCACUUUGGGAUAACACCGGGAAACCGGUGCUAAUACCGAAUAUUGAAACAUAAGUGGCAUCACUGAGUUUUGAAAGAAUUUCGGUGGAGGAUGACUUCGCGGCCUAUCAGCUAGUUGGUGAGGUAAUGGCUCACCAAGGCAACGACGGGUAGCCGGCCUGAGAGGGCGACCGGCCACACUGGGACUGAGACACGGCCCAGACUCCUACGGGAGGCAGCAGUGGGGAAUAUUGGGCAAUGGAGGAAACUCUGACCCAGCGACGCCGCGUGCGGGAUGAAGGCCUUCGGGUUGUAAACCGCUUUCAGUAGGGAAGAAGCGAAAGUGACGGUACCUACAAAAGAAGCACCGGCUAACUAUGUGCCAGCAGCCGCGGUAAUACAUAGGGUGCAAGCGUUGUCCGGAAUUAUUGGGCGUAAAGAGCUCGUAGGUCGUUUGUUACGUCGGAUGUGAAAACCUGAGGCUCAACCUCAGGCCUGCAUUCGAUACGGGCAAACUAGAGUUUGGUAGGGGAGACUGGAAUUCCUGGUGUAGCGGUGGAAUGCGCAGAUAUCAGGAGGAACACCAAUGGCGAAGGCAGGUCUCU